rnacentral:rRNA from 1 species
GACGUAGGGGGCCAGCGUUGUUCGGAAUUACUGGGUGUAAAGGGUUCGUAGGCGGUGUGGCAAGUCGGGAGUGAAACCUCUGGGCUCAACUCAGAGACUGCUUCCGAAACUGCUGUGCUGGAGUGUGGGAGAGGCGCGUGGAAUUGCAGGUGUAGCGGUGAAAUGCGUAGAUAUCUGCAGGAACACCCGUGGCGAAAGCGGCGCGCUGGACCACUACUGACGCUGAGGAACGAAAGCUAGGGGAGCAAACAGG